rnacentral:rRNA from 1 species
AGUGGCGGACGGGUGAGUAACACGUGAGCAACCUGCCUUUCAGAGGGGGAUAACAGUUGGAAACGACUGCUAAUACCGCAUGACAUUACCGGGUCACAUGGCCUGGUAAUCAAAGGAGCAAUCCGCUGAAAGAUGGGCUCGCGUCCGAUUAGCCAGUUGGCGGGGUAAUGGCCCACCAAAGCGACGAUCGGUAGCCGGACUGAGAGGUUGAACGGCCACAUUGGGACUGAGACACGGCCCAGACUCCUACGGGAGGCAGCAGUGGGGGAUAUUGCACAAUGGGGGGAACCCUGACGCAGCGACGCCGCGUGCGGGACGGAGGCCUUCGGGUCGUAAACCGCUUUCAGCAGGGAAGAGUCAAGACUGUACCUGCAGAAGAAGCCCCGGCUAACUACGUGCCAGCGGCCGCGGUAAUACGUAGGGGGCGAGCGUUAUCCGGAUUCAUUGGGCGUAAAGCGCGCGUAGGCGGCCCGGCAGGCCGGGGGUCGAAGCGGGGGGCUCAACCCCCCGAAGCCCCCGGAACCUCCGCGGCUUGGGUCCGGUAGGGGAGGGUGGAACACCCGGUGUAGCGGUGGAAUGCGCAGAUAUCGGGUGGAACACCGGUGGCGAAGGCGGCCCUCUGGGCCGAGACCGACGCUGAGGCGCGAAAGCUGGGGGAGCGAACAGGAUUAGAUACCCUGGUAGUCCCAGCCGUAAACGAUGGACACGAGGUGUGGGGGGACGAUCCCCCCAGUACCGCAGCCAACGCAUUAAGGGUUCCUGCUUGGGGAGUACGGCCGCAAGGUUAAAACUCAAAGGAAUUGACGGGGGCCCGCACAAGCAGCGGAGCAUGUGGCUUAAUUGGAAGCGACGCGAAGAACCUUACCAGGACUUGACAUAUGGGUGAAGAGGGGGAGACCCCGUGGCAGAGAGGAGCCCAUACAAGGUGGUGCAUGGCGGUCGUCAGCUCGUGUCGUGAGAUGUUGGGUUAAGUCCCGCAACGAGCGCAACCCCCGCCGCGUGUUGCCAUCGGGUGAUGCCGGGAACCCACGCGGGACCGCCGCCGUCAAGGCGGAGGAGGGCGGGGGCGACGUCAAAUCAUCAUGCCCCUUAUGUCCCGGGCUACACACGUAAUACAAUGGCGGUCAACAGAGGGAAGCAAAGCCGCGAGGCAGAGCAAACCCCUAAAAGCCGUCUCAGUUCGGAUUGCAGGCUGCAACUCGCCUGCAUGAAGUUGGAAUUGCUAGUAAUCGUGGAUCAGCAUGCCACGGUGAAUACGUUCCCGGGCCUUGCACUCACCGCCCGUCA